GGAUGAACGCUGGCGGCGUGCCUAAUACAUGCAAGUCGAGCGAACGGACGAGAAGCUUGCUUCUCUGAUGUUAGCGGCGGACGGGUGAGUAACACGUGGAUAACCUACCUAUAAGACUGGGAUAACUUCGGGAAACCGGAGCUAAUACCGGAUGAUAUUUUGAACCGCAUGGUUCAAAAGUGAAAGACGGUCUUGCUGGCACUUAUAGAUGGAUCCGCGCUGCAUUAGCUAGUUGGUAAGGUAACGGCUUACCAAGGCAACGAUGCAUAGCCGACCUGAGAGCGUGAUCGGCCACACUGGAACUGAGACACGGUCCAGACUCCUACGGGAGGCCGCAGUAGGGAAUCUUCCGCAAUGGGCGAAAGCCUGACGGAGCAACGCCGCGUGAGUGAUGAAGGUCUUCGGAUCGUAAAACUCUGUUAUUAGGGAAGAACAUAUGUGUAAGUAACUGUGCACAUCUUGACGGUACCUAAUCAGAAAGCCACGGCUAACUACGUG
rnacentral:rRNA from 1 species